CCUACGGGAGGCAGCAGUGAGGAAUAUUGGUCAAUGGGCGGGAGCCUGAACCAGCCAAGCCGCGUGAGGGAAGAAGGUACAGCGUAUCGUAAACCUCUUUUGUCAGGGAACAAAGGCGGGGACUAGUCCCCGGAUGAGGGUACCUGAAGAAAAAGCAUCGGCUAACUCCGUGCCAGCAGCCACGGUAAUACGGAGGAUGCGAGCGUUAUCCGGGUUUAUUGGGUUAAAAGGGUGCGCAGGCGGCCUGUUCAGUCAGCGGUCAAAGCCCGGGGCUCAACCCCGGCCCGCCGUUGAAACUGGCAGUCUCGAGUUGGAGAGAAGUAUGCGGAAUGCGCGGUGUAGCGGUGAAAUGCAUAGAUAUCGCGCAGAACUCCGAUUGCGAAGGCAGCAUGCCGGCUCCACACUGACGCUGAGGCACGAAAGCGUGGGUAUCGAACAGGAUUAGAUACCCGGGUAGUC
rnacentral:rRNA from 1 species